CCUACGGGAGGCAGCAGUAAGGAAUAUUGGUCAAUGGAGGCAACUCUGAACCAGCCAUGCCGCGUGCAGGAAGACGGCCCUAUGGGUUGUAAACUGCUUUUAUACGGGAAUAAACCUUUCUUCGUGAAGAGAGCUGAAUGUACUGUAAGAAUAAGGAUCGGCUAACUCCGUGCCAGCAGCCGCGGUAAU
rnacentral:rRNA from 1 species